GUUAGGAAUAUUGGACAAUGGGCGCAAGCCUGAUCCAGCCAUGCCGCGUGAGGGAUGAAGGCCUUCGGGUUGUAAAGCUCUUUAGUCCACGAAUAUAAUGACUGUAGUGGAAGAAUAAGCCCCGGCUAACUUCGUGCCAGCAGCCGCGGUAAUACGAAGGGGGCGAGCGUUAUUCGGAAUCACUGGGCGUAAAGCGUGCGUAGGCUGUGUUGUAAGUCAGAAGUGAAAGCCCAGGGCUUAACCCUGGAAUUGCUUUUGAAACUACAAGACUCGAAUUCGGGAGAGGAGAGCGGAAUUGUCAGUGUAGCAGUGAAAUGCGUAGAUAUUGACAGGAACACCAGUGGCGCAAGCGGCUAUCUGGACCGAUAUUGACGCUGAGGCACGAAAGCGUGGGGAGCAAACAGGAUUAGAUACCCUUGUAGUCC
rnacentral:rRNA from 1 species